UCCAUCCCCCUUUCUGUGUUCCUGCAAACAACUCUCUUCACCAUCUCAAAUCAGUAGCCAGGACCGAUAGGGGCUGAUUAGCGGAAGCCAGGGUGGAGACCCUUCCAGGCGUGAAAAUGAGAUCGGAGAGGAGCUACUCCGUGAGAAUUGCCCUUGGUCUCCCUUGUAGCCCUGCUGGCGACCUCAGGUAUCAGCACUAAAGGUAGUUGCCGGCAAGAACUCUUUUUGUACAGGAUGGGGAUAGGAUGGAUUUUUAAAGAUGAAUCUCUCACUCACCAUCUCCAUUAAGGAGCCACUUCCCGAGAAUUAGGGAAUCUGGGGCCGUUUCUGCUACUGCUUCUUCUGUUGCUGUUGACUUGAAGACAACCGUAUGAAUUCAAGAAACCCUUGGGCUGGUGGCAGAGAAAGCUUCUGCCAAGUAGAGGACAGCAACCAACAAGACUAUUGACCCAAGCUUGGCCCUUUUACCAGCAGACGCCUUCCAGGAGUUGUUUGGACAGUGAGGAGCCAAAGUGAAAUGCAGAAUGCCUAAUUAGUAAUUCUGAAUACAGCUUUAUGUUCUGUUGAGGUUUAGGUAUUAAUCACUCAACAGAUUGUGACACACUUCUAAGGUCACAUCAAAGAAUCUCCUUCAUGCUCUGGUGUAAACAGGGGGAAUAACAACAUUAAAUAAAGGAAUUAUAUCUCAGAGGGAGGUGGCCAAGGAUACAAAGAAAAGGAAGAAUAAGCAAUAAGGAAAACAGCUCUGGCUAAUGAAAUUAUUUGAGAGAACUAUGUUGUUUUUAAUGGGAAAAUUUGCCUAGAACCUUUGGAAUGUAUCUUUUGUUAAGUAAAGUGAUGAGGUGGUGGCCAUUCAGUGAAUAAGACUCCUAUUUAUUUACAUCAAGCAGAUGGACCCAAAUGUACCCUAUUUUUGUCCUCAGGAUUGUUUUUUCCUCUACCCCCUCUUUAUUUUUGACAAUGUCAUGUAAAGUCAAGUCACCAAGUAUUUUUAAGCACUUGCUAUGUGCCGAACAUUGUGCUAAGUGUGGGGAAUAGAAGAAAACAAAAACAGUCCUAACCCUCAAGUAGUUCAUUCUAUUGAGGGUGACAACAUACAAACAAUUAUAUAUAUGCAGGAUUUAUACAGGCUAAACUAGAGGAAUCUGUGGCUCAGCUGGGAGUUGGAAAGACAAAGUUCAAAUGUGAAUUCUGACAU